CUUUGUGCUAAACACUUUACUUACAAUAAUAUUUUUAGUCUUAGAGUUUGUAUACUCUGGUAAUAUUGGAUUUUCAGUGUUAUGGUUUGUUAACUACCAUUAUCUAAAGCUUAAAGCGCUCCCUCACUUCCAGAGUACUGGAAGUUCAGUACCCUCUCUUACUAGGUAUCCAGUGGACUUCCCAACAAAACAGCAACUUGAUGGGACAAGAGGAGGCCUCCUGGGACUACAUCUAGCACCAAGGUUCUUGUCAUCCUGAAAAGAGAAUUGGACAAGAAAACAUGCAAAAGAGUCCAAGGGCCAAAUCCAGACCAGUUUUUUUAAAAAAGAAUGUGGCCCAGAGAUAAGUGAAGGUCAGCUUCACUCUAGAAGAGUCAGAGAGAGGGGGAAACCCGCAGCCCUAGAACGUCUGUCUUGGAAUGCAGUAGCCACAAAGAGAACUGCUUGAAGUACGAGAACCAAAUCUCAGCCAUCUCAAGGGCAGAAAGACAACUAAGACCAGAAGCUUUCUGAGGGUGCAUCUCCAGUCUUUUGCAAAACAUGCCUCCAAAGACAAAAGCUAUGAUUGAUUUCAGUCACAUUGUCAAGCAGAAAAUAAAAUCACUCAUCAAAGAACCUAAACAAAACUGCCUUUUAACAUUCUCAGUGAGAACGAGAGAGAGAGAGAGAGAGAGAGAGAGAGAGAGAGAGAGAGAGAAGUACAGGACAGAUUGGAAAUGCUCCUUUAAACUCUGUAGUUCCGAGCUCACAUAUGUAUGUGCUUGAGCUUUUGUAAAAAAUUCUGAUGAGGGUCCCUUUUUCCUGAUAAAUUGCUGGCUUGACUUUUGUUGUCUUUAUCUUUCUCUCUUUUUAAAUUUUUUUCU